UACGAAGGGGGCUAGCGUUGCUCGGAAUCACUGGGCGUAAAGCGCACGUAGGCGGCUUUCUAAGUCAGGGGUGAAAUCCUGGAGCUCAACUCCAGAACUGCCUUUGAUACUGGAGAGCUUGAGUCCGGGAGAGGUGAGUGGAACUCCGAGUGUAGAGGUGAAAUUCGUAGAUAUUCGGAAGAACACCAGUGGCGAAGGCGGCUCACUGGCCCGGUACUGACGCUGAUGUGCGAAAACGUGGGGAGCAAACAGG
rnacentral:rRNA from 1 species